GCCUUCGUGGUGUAAUGGUCAGCACACUCGGCGCGUAUUCGAAAGUUCCGAGGUUCAAGUCCCUGUGAGGGCA
rfam:Stegodyphus mimosarum contig74016, whole genome shotgun sequence.